rnacentral:rRNA from 1 species
AUUGAACGCUGGCGGCAUGCCUUACACAUGCAAGUCGAACGGCAGCACGGGAGCAAUCCUGGUGGCGAGUGGCGAACGGGUGAGUAAAGUAUCGGAACGUGCCCAGUCGUGGGGGAUAACGUAGCGAAAGUUACGCUAAUACCGCAUACGAUCUAUGGAUGAAAGCGGGGGAUCGCAAGACCUCGCGCGAUUGGGGCGGCCGAUACCAGAUUAGGUAGUUGGUGGGGUAAAGGCUACCCAAGCCGAAGAUCUGUAGCUGGUCUGAGAGGACGACCAGGCACACUGGGACUGAGACACGGCCCAGACUCCUACGGGAGGCAGCAGUGGGGAAUUUUGGACAAUGGGCGAAAGCCUGAUCCAGCCAUGCCGCGUGCAGGAUGAAGGCCUUCGGGUUGUAAACUGCUUUUGUACGGAACGAAAAGGUUUGGCCUAAUAAGCUGAGCUCAUGACGGUACCGUAAGAAUAAGCACCGGCUAACUACGUGCCAGCCGCCGCAGUAA